rnacentral:rRNA from 1 species
CAGCCGCCGCGGGAAUACGAAGGGGGCUAGCGUUGUUCGGAUUCACUGGGCGUAAAGCGCACGUAGGCGGAUCGAUCAGUCAGGGGUGAAAUCCCAGAGCUCAACUCUGGAACUGUCUUUGAUACUGUCGAUCUGGAGUAUGGAAGAGGUGAGUGGAAUUCCGAGUGUAGAGGUGAAAUUCGUAGAUAUUCGGAGGAACACCAGUGGCGAAGGCGGCUCACUGGUCCAUUACUGACGCUGUGGUGCGAAAGCGUGGGGAGCAAACAGGAUUAGAUACCCCCGUAGUCCCUGUCUCUUAUAC